UACGGAAGGCAGCAGUGGGGAAUAUUGCACAAUGGGCGCAAGCCUGAUGCAGCCAUGCCGCGUGUAUGAAGAAGGCCUUCGGGUUGUAAAGUACUUUCAGUCGUGAGGAAGGUGUUAAGGUUAAUAACCUUAGCAAUUGACGUUAGCGACAGAAGAAGCACCGGCUAACUCCGUGCCAGCAGCCGCGGUAAUACGGAGGGUGCGAGCGUUAAUCGGAAUUACUGGGCGUAAAGGGCACGCAGGCGGUUAAUUAAGUUGGAUGUGAAAUCCCGGGCUUAACCUGGGAAUGGCAUUCAAGACUGGUUAGCUAGAGUCUUGUAGAGGGGGUAGAAUUCCAUGUGUAGCGGUGAAAUGCGUAGAGAUGUGGAGGAAUACCGGUGGCGAAGGCGGCCCCUGGGACAAAGGACUGACGCUCAUGUGCGAAAGCGUGGGGAGCGAAACAGGAUUAGAUACC
rnacentral:rRNA from 1 species